UAGCCGUAAACGAUACUCGCUAGGUGUCGGCCACGGUGCGACCGUUGUCAGUGCCGUAGGGAAGCCGUGAAGCGAGCCACCUGGGAAGUACGGCCGCAAGGCUGAAACUUAAAGGAAUUGGCGGGGGAGCACCACAACGGGUGGAGCUUGCGGUUUAAUUGGAUUCAACGCCGGAAAUCUUACCGGGACCGACAGCAACAUGAAGGCCAAGCUGAAGACUUUGCCGGAUUAGCUGAGAGGAGGUGCAUGGCGUAGUCGUGU
rnacentral:rRNA from 1 species